GUUGGUUCCGAGCCACGAACUGUGUAGGGGAGGAGGCGCGCUCGACAUGGUCGGGACUCGUAGCCUCCCCGACCCCCGCUCUCGUCGGCGUGUGGACUGGAGGGCCUGUUGACUUGUCGUGCAUCUAUCUCGCGAUUCUCUCCGGAUGGAUGUCGCGGCGGGCCUCGCGCCUCCGUAAGUCAUUCGCUUGCGGUUCGGGGUACGAUUCAAGGGCGUGACGGAGUGUGCCGCUGCACUCCUCAGCAGCGCCCGCGGCGGCCGGUGGACUCCUCGGGGAGUCCGCGAGGCACAGCUGCAACCCCCCGUUGCGUCGACGAAGGGAGAAAUGUCGUGUAAAGGUGUUGUUGGUGGUGCGGACGGGCGCACUCGCGCAAGCCGCGGGGCAGGACCUCUCGUCGCCGUCCCCCUUCCCUCUUUGACGGCAUGUGUCCUUCCGAUGUUGCGGGGCGGGGACAUCUCCCGUCUCACGUGCCACCCAUGAGGCAUCGCCUCUGGACCCCGGUGGCAAUUGCGGGACGGGCAGUGUGUCACAAACACUUAACACUGCGGUGCAGUUCGCACCAAGGAUUGAAAGAUAGCCGCGCGGGCCGCACGCCGUGUGCGUGCGGGAUUGCCGGCGCCAUGAG
rnacentral:precursor_RNA from 1 species